rnacentral:rRNA from 1 species
AACACGUAUGAAACCUGCCCGUAGCAGGGGCCUUAGCGGAAGAAAUUCCGUCUAAUACCGCGUAACAACCCAUGGAGGCAUCUCCGUGGGUUUAAAGGAAGCGAUUCCGGCUACGGAUGGUCAUGCGUCGCAUUAGCUUGUUGGCGGGGUAACGGCCCACCAAGGCGACGAUCAGUAGCCGGCCUGAGAGGGUGGACGGCCACAUUGGGACUGAGACACGGCCCAAACUCCUACGGGAGGCAGCAGUGGGGGAUAUUGGACAAUGGGGGGAACCCUGAUCCAGCGACGCCGCGUGAGUGAAGAAGUAUUUCGGUAUGUAAAGCUCUGUCAGCAGUUAAGAAAGAAAUGACGGUACCUGACCAAGAAGCCCCGGCUAACUACGUGCCAGCAGCCGCGGUAAUACGUAGGUGGCGAGCGUUAUCCGGAAUGAUUGGGCGUAAAGGGUGCGCAGGCGGUCCUGCAAGUCUGGAGUGAAACGCAUGAGCUCAACUCAUGCAUGGCUUUGGAAACUGGAGGACUGGAGAGCAGGAGAGGGCGGUGGAACUCCAUGUGUAGCGGUAAAAUGCGUAGAUAUAUGGAAGAACACCAGUGGCGAAGGCGGCCGCCUGGCCUGUUGCUGACGCUGAGGCACGAAAGCGUGGGGAGCAAAUAGGAUUAGAUACCCUAGUAGUCCACGCCGUAAACGAUGAGGACCAAGUGUUGGGGGUGAAACCUCAGUGCUGAAGUUAACGCAGUGAGUCCUCCGCCUGGGGAGUAUGCACGCAAGUGUGAAACUCAAAGGAAUUGACGGGGGCCCCAC